GACGAACCGUGCGAACGUUGUUCGGAUUCACUUGGCUUAAAGGGCGCGUAAGCGGCUUGCCAAGUCAGGGGUGAAAUCUUUCGGCUUAACCGGAAAAGUGCUUCUGAUACUGGCAAGCUGGAGGGAGGUAGGGGCAGAUGGAACUUCCGGUGGAGCGGUGAAAUGCGUAGAUAUCGGAAGGAACGCCGGUGGCGAAAGCGAUCUGCUGGACCUCUUCUGACGCUGAGGCGCGAAAGCGAGGGGAGCAAACGGG
rnacentral:rRNA from 1 species